CGCUCCUUCAGUCAGUCACGGGCAGUCGAGGAGGGAGGAUGCACGCCGCUCCUUCAGUCUAACUCUAUAUCUAACAUCACGGAAGGAUUAUAAGUGGAAAAAAAAGGAAAACUGAAGCCUUGGAAUAUAUAACUAAGUCUCUAAAGUGAUAAAAAGUGAAGAAAAUAUGUAUAAGUGGAUAUUGUGAGACUUGACGUAUAGGAAGUGAAGGAAAGGAACGAAGGAGGGAAGGAUACGAGAGGUCAAGAGAGAGAGAGAGAGACUGAUUCCUACGUCCAGGUGUUGUUGUCUUCUCAGGGCAUACUCCUCCAAUGGCGCCCUGUGAGUGACGUCAUCGGGUGUCCUUGAGGGGUCGUCCGUCAGUGUUCGUGCAGCAGUGAUGGGGUGUGGACGUCGCUGCGGCUGCUGGGCCUUGAGCGAGCUGGAAUUGGAGCGAGCGAGGCAUCAGAAUACGCUAGAGGAGAAUGCGCGUUACCAGAGACACAUCCAGGACCUUCGCGAGGAGCUGUCCACCUUACACUCCACCGUCGCCGACCUUGAGAGGCGCUACUCAGACCUCUCAGCGCGAUACAGGUCUACGGUGGCGUCUCUGGAUGAUGUCAACGACACAACGCUGAGACUCAAGGACCACUCUGCUGACCUUUCCGAGGAGAACAGGCGGCUAAGGCUGACCUCGGAGAAGCUGGAGGAGGAGACUCGCUCACUCCGGGAACAGCUGGACGAGGCAAGGGAACACGCCGAGGACGAGCACCGCCGUCGAGUGUCCAGCGAGGUCACACUCUCCCGCGACCUCGCCAGCACGGAGAAGCACUACACCAACUCCCUCCGGCGGGCGCACUCCCUCCACGACAUCGACCGCCAGCACCUCGAACACGACAUAAGCCGCCUGACGCACGCCCUGAGCCGGCAGAAACAGCACCACCGCGACACACUCCGGGACAUUCACCACUACCGUCACAGUCACCUCCAUCGUCACCACUACUGCCUCGCCCACAGCAUAUACGAUUGUUACGACUGUCUCCACCCUGACCCUAUGCUGCUAGACUGACCGGCUGGGGUGAGGGGUGAGGUGAGGAGAGGAGGGGGUGGGGGUGAGGUGACUGGGGAUGUUGUAGAAGUGGGUUGAGAUGAGAUUGAUUUGAGGUGAGUAGGAUGUCUUGGUUAUGAGGUUUUGCAGUCGUGAAUGUAAGGUGAAAUGAGAUGAGGUUAGGGGUGGUGACAUGAGUAGGUUGAGAUGAGAUGAGAUGAGAUUGAGUUGAGGUGAGUAGGAUCUCUUGGUUAUGAGGUUUUGCAGUCAUGAAUGUAAGGUGAAAUGAGAUGAGGUUAGGGGUGGUGACGGUGGUGGUUGGGGUUAGUGACAUGAGUAGGUUGAGAUGACAUGAGAUGAGGAUUUGGUGAAGUGAGAAGGCCCUGUUGGUUAUGAGGUUUUGCAGUCAUGAAUCUAAGGUGAAAUGACAUGAGGUUAGGGGUGGUGACGGUGGUGGUUGGGGUUAGUGACAUGAGUAGGUUGAGAUGACAUGAGAUGAGAAUUUGAAGUGAGUAGGCCCUGUUGGUUAUGAGGAGGUUUGGGUGGUCAUGAAUGUAAGGUGAAAUGACAUGACGAUAGGGUGGUGACAGUGGUGGUUGGUGGAAAUGGUAUGGUAGAAAUUGGGUAUGGUAGAAUUGGGUUGAAGAGGCUGAUGUCUGUCAGUUUAGGUAAUCCUGGGUUUGAUGGUAGCAGCAAUGUAUGGUAGAAAUUGGGUAUGGUAGAAUUGGGUUGAAGAGGUUGAUGUCUGUUGAUUUGGGUAGUCCUGGGUGUGAUGGUGGUGGUAGAAAUCUAAAGUUCGGUUGACAAGGUUGAUGUCUGUUGAUUUGGGUAGUCCUGGGUUUGGUGAUGGUGGUGGUGGUGGUGGUGGUGGUAAUACAGAAUUGGGUUGACAAGGUUGAUGUCUGUUGAUUUGGGUAGUCCUGGGUUUGGUGGUGGUGGUGGUGGUGGUGGUGGUAAUACAGAAUUGGGUUGACGAGGUUGAUGUCUGUUGAUUUGGGUCGUCCUGGGUUUGGUGAUGGUGGUGGUGGUGGUGGUGGUGGUGGUGGUAAUACAGAAUUGGGUUGACGAGGUUGAUGUCUGUUGAUUUGGGUAGUCCUGGGUUUGGUGGUGGUGAUGGUGAUGGUGGUAGAAAUAUAGCAAUGGUUUGGUCUGGCAUGAGAUUAUACAGUUUGUGAAUGCAAAGUCAAACAUUACAUUAAUUAGAAUAUAGAUUAAAAAAUACUAACAUAUCAACGAAACAGGAUUAAAUUAUUGCAUUGUGACGUAGGAAUUUAAAACUAGCACCACAAGAUAGGUAUACAUGGUAGUUAAAAAUUCAUAAUAAAAAUCUUGAUGAUAUAAGAAUGUAUAUAUAGAGAGAGCAAAAAUUCUUCGGCAAUGAUGAAGUUAAAAUGUAAAUACCAGAAUGUUAUUGAGACUUAAGUUAGUAAAUUUAAGAAAGAGGAGUUUGUCUUCUGCUAUAAUGAGAAAGUCAAGAUGUAUAUAAAAGAAUGUUAGGAUAAGUUAGCGCAUUUAAAGAAAGAUGAGUUUGUCUUCUGCUAAAACAAGAGAGUAAGGAUUUAUAUAGAAGACUGUUAAGGAUAAGUUAGCACAUUUAAAGAAAGAUCAAUUUGUCUUCUGCUAAAACAAGAGAGUAAAGAUUUAUAUAGAAGACUGUUAAGGAUAAGUUAGCACAUUUAAAGAAAGAUCAAUUUGUCUUCUGCUAAAACAAGAGAGUAAAGAUUUAUAUAGAAGACUGUUAAGGAUAAGUUAGCACAUUUAAAGAAAGAUGAGUUUGUCUUCUGCUAAAACAAGAGAGUAAGGAUUUAUAUAGAAGACUGUUAAGGAUAAGUUAUCACAUUUAAAGAAAGAUCAAUUUGUCUUCUGCUAUAAUGAGAAAGUAAAGAUGUAUAUAAAAGACUGUUAAGGAUAAGUUACCGCACUUUAGAGAGAGCGAGCAACGUAUUUUCUGCUGCCGCUCUGUACCGUCAGGGAGGAAAAGAAAGCAAUACAAAUGUGUUCAUCGUGAAGUGUCAACUCUUUGCAGCUCAAACGUUCCACUGCCCUUCAGAGCAACACACCGACCCAGCCUUGUUAUGUCAGAGUGUCGUUAAUCUGUGUAGACAACGCCAAUACCUUCUCUCUGUAAAAUCUCCCUUUCGCAUGAUGGUCCUAGUACAUUCUUUCUGCCUUUCUUUCUUUCUCUGUAAAAUCUCCCUUUCACAUGAUAUGGUCCCAGUAUGUUCUUUCUUUCCUUAUUUCUGUCUGUUUUUCUCUUUAUAAUCUCCCUUUCACAUGAUAUGGUCCCAGUAUGUUCUUUCUUUCCUUCUUUCUGUCUGUCAUUCUCUCUCUUUAAAAUCUCCCUUUCACAUGAUAUGGUCCCAGUACGUUCUUUCUUUCCUUCUUUCUGUCUGUUUUUCUCUUUAUAAUCUCCCUUUCACAUGAUAUGGUCCCAGUAUGUUCUUUCUUUCCUUCUUUCUGUCUGUCAUUCUCUCUCUUUGAAACCUCCCUUUCACAUGAUGGUCCCAGUACGUUCUUUCUUUCCUUCUUUCUGUCUGUCAUUCUCUCUCUUUAUAAUCUCCCUUUCACAUGAUGGUCCCAGUACAUUCUUUCUUUCCUUCUUUCUGUCUGUCAUUCUCUCUCUUUAUAAUCUCCCUUUCACAUGAUGGUCCCAGUACGUUCUUUCUUUCCUUCUUUCUGUCUGUCAUUCUCUCUCUUUAAAAUCUCCCUUUCACAUGAUAUGGUCCCAGUAUGUUCUUUCUUUCCUUCUUUCUGUCUGUCAUUCUCUCUCUUUAAAAUCUCCCUUUCACAUGAUAUGGUCCCAGUAUGUUCUUUCUUUCCUUCUUUCUGUCUGUCAUUCUCUCUCUUUAAAACCUCCCUUUCACAUGAUGGUCCCAGUACGUUCUUUCUUUCCUUCUUUCUGUCUGUCAUUCUCUCUCUUUAAAACCUCCCUUUCACAUGAUAUGGUCCCAGUAAAUUCUUUCUUUCCUUCUUUCUGUCUGUCUUUCUCUUUAUAAUCUCCCUUUCACAUGAUGGUCCCAGUACAUUCUUUCUUUCCUUCUUUCUGUUUGUCUUUCUAUGUAAAAUCUCUCUUUUGCAUGAUGGUGAGCCUUGUGCUGGUAGGAAGUUAAGCAUACCAGCACCAGCUCACACAAAAGCCAUGCCCAUCAGCGACGCCUUCCAAAACAACACACUGACCCAGCCUUGUCAUGUCACGGUGUUGUCACUAAUCUAUAUAGACAUUUCCAGUUAAUAUGAGCCUUGUGCUGAUAGGAGGUUAAGCAUAUCAGCACCAGCUCAUACGAAACAAGCCAUGCCUAUUACCGAUGCCUUUCGAAAUAACAAUGUAGAGGACACUAACCAGACUAGAAUGUUACUAUAACUAUAAAAGGGAAGGGAAAUCAGUGUAGUACAGGAGCUGAGAUGAUGUGCAAAAGGCCCCAUCACACUGACUUACUGGUCGAGUGUUAGCAUGAGAGUCUUUUUGUGACCUUUUCUGCAUCUUCUCAGCCGCUACAAGAUUACCCAAGCCACCCAAAACCAAUCCAGUAAGCCUCCUGUGCCCUGCCCCUCAAGAAGUCAGUGUUGAAUGGUUGAGGACACUUUUGUUGCCUUUAAUAGAGAGAUUCACCUCAUAUAACAAUCUUGCUCUGGUGAUAUCACGGCGUUUGUUCAGCGGAAAAGUCGUGUUGUCUGAGAAAAGCUCCAUAAAUGAAUACAUAAUUUAAUACUGGGAAGAUACGCCGUUUGAUAAGUGGGGGAAAAAAGCUUGUCAGUGUUUUGUUGCCCAAGAAAAUCACUUAAAGCAUUAAAUAAGCUUGUCAGUGUUUUGUUGCCCAAGAAAAUCACUUAAAGCAUUAAAUAAGCUUGUCAGUGUUUUGUUGCCCAAGAAAAUCACUUAAAGCAUUAAAUAAUCUCAUACACGUCAUAUUAAGGAGUAUACUGAAGGGGCGAAAUGGUUAAUUCGGUGGUGAUAUUAAUGACUUCAGUGCUUAUGUCAAUGUCUUGCUGUCUGAGAAAAUUACGUAAACCAUUAAAUAAUCUCACAUAGGUCAUAUCAUAGUGCUUAUUGAAAGGGCAAAAUGGUCAUAUCAUAGUGCUUAUUGAAAGGGCAAAAUGGUCAUAUCAUAGUGCUUAUUGAAAGGGCAAAAUGGUCAUAUCAUAGUGCUUAUUGAAAGGGCAAAAUGGUUAAGUCGAUAUUGAUAUUAAUGACUUCUGGGAGAGGGCGGGCCUAGGAGAGUGACUGGUUGGUGUUGACUCAUGUCUAAUCAGAACUGCAAACAAUAUCCUGGUGUCCAAAGAUGUUAAAAUACACUCAGUACAAUAG